AUACCAACUUGAAAGUUUUUAUGUUUUAUUAAAGAGCUCAAAUAUGAUAGAAUAAUAGGUAGAAUAAUUAAUGAUGACAAGCUUAUUACGGAGCGUGAAUCAAUUAUUUUAUCAAGACCCAAGUCGAUAGAAGAAACCGAGAGAAUAUUGUAACUAAAUUAAAAAAAAGAAAACACAAAAAAAUAUUGGAUUAUUUGACGCAGUCUGUCAUAAAUAUGGCAUUAAUGCAAUGAAAUUUCCCACCGAAUGGAAAACGCCAACAUGUGCAUAUAAAUUACUCCAACUUUUCAAUUCUUUCUGUACAACUUUGAAUAUAAAGCACCUGAAAUACCAUCCUUAAAAUUUAAUCAAAACUGGAUAGCUACAAUAGUUAAUUACACACUUAUGCAAAACAAUUGUGUGUAUAUUCAAAAAGACCGAUCGAGAAAACAUUGACCCAAAUGGCUUCUUCGUUGGCUGUGGAAAAUCUUACAAAAUUACAAAGAAGAGUUUCAGGUUAAACAUUUCCUCAUUCCUCUCAAGGUACUACGCAACUCUCUUGAGAGAAAAAGCCAGAGUAGUGAUAUAAAAAGAGAUAAGGUUCUCCUGAGCUGUGGUGGAUUAAAAAAAGUUUCAAUUUAAAAAUGCAAACGACUGAAC